UACAGAGGUCUCAAGCGUUGUUCGGAAUUACUGGGCGUAAAGCGCACGUAGGCGGAUUUGUAAGUCAGGGGUGAAAUCCCGGGGCUCAACCUCGGAACUGCCUUUGAUACUGCGAGUCUCGAGUCCGAUAGAGGUGGGUGGAAUUCCUAGUGUAGAGGUGAAAUUCGUAGAUAUUAGGAAGAACACCGGUGGCGAAGGCGGCCCACUGGAUCGGUACUGACGCUGAGGUGCGAAAGCGUGGGGAGCAAACAGG
rnacentral:rRNA from 1 species